CAGUCGCCGCGGUAAUACGUAGGUGGCAAGCGUUGUCCGGAUUUAUUGGGCGUAAAGCGAGCGCAGGCGGUUCCUUAAGUCUGAUGUGAAAGCCCACGGCUCAACCGUGGAAGGUCAUUGGAAACUGGGGAACUUGAGUGCAGAAGAGGAGAGUGGAAUUCCAUGUGUAGCGGUGAAAUGCGUAGAUAUAUGGAGGAACACCAGUGGCGAAGGCGACUCUCUGGUCUGUAACUGACGCUGAGGCUCGAAAGCGUGGGGAGCAAACAGGAUUAGAUACCCGGGUAGUCCCUGUCUCUUAUAC
rnacentral:rRNA from 1 species